GGCAAGAGAAGAGAAACACCGGAAAGGAUACAAUCCUCUCACUUACCAUCCGUUGACAACCUGGUCAUCAUACCUGAGAAAGAAGAUAUACCACAUGAUAUGCAAAUACGACACAAAGACAUAGUCCUAAUUAAUGGAUUUCCCCAGCUCAACACAUUUAACAACCUGUCUUCUUAGAGAAGUAUGGCUGUGGUGCUGCAGGCAUGAUUUAGGGUUUCUCUCAAUAUCCCCACUGUCCCCUUCCCCCAUCAUCACUAUGAGGCAUCCCUUACCUCUAAUAUAAUUUCUAUUUGUCUCUCUUCUCUGUCAGUGCCUGAGUUCCUGAGGGGUGAGCAUAUCUGAUCCAUCUUUGGAUCCAGACACAUAGGAGAUGCUCAGAAAUUCAUGCUCAAAGUUUCUGCACCAAAGUUCCUAGUCCAAAGCCAUCAGAGUGUGGCAAGAUAUUUACCUAGGAUUCCUGACAGCAGCUCAUCCAGAAGAAGAGUCAGCGUGGUGGCAGCCAAGGUUACAGACGUGGUACAGAAUGGUGGGAUCAUGGAGAUGGAGCCACAGAUUAGAAGAUGGGCUGUAGACAGCCAGGAGAAGAAAGACCCAUUGAAGGUCAGCAGAAAUUAUCCUUGUUGGACCUGGAUAAUCAAACCAAAGGGAGAUAGGUGGAACAAAAGUCUUACCUUUCAGCACUGUUGACGUGCAAGUCCCAGGAAGGAGAGGACCAAUGGCGGCCAGUGGGGAUCAUUUUCCCAAUAAGGGUUCAGAAAGAAUAUGAAAUCAAUCAAGUCAUCCUUCAUACCUCAUUGUAUCCCAUAGGUCCCGAGAUAGGAUAGGGAAUGAGAAUGAGAAGCUUUUACCCAUUCUAAGAGCCCUGGACCCCUUUGAAAAUACAUUUAUUCCAAAGUCAAAAAACCCCAGGGAUACCAGUUCUCCCCUUCCACCUGGGUUUUUGGAGGUUUCCAGAAGGAGGGUCUGUCUCCAUAACAACCAACUGUCAUCUCCACUCCUCAACUGGAGACCAGGAAGGUUGAUACUUGGAAAAGAGGGAAGCCUAUCCACUCUGCACUGUGUUUUUCUCAUCUAAAAUCCACCAAAUGAAGACAUUCAAUCCGAUCCAAUUCAAUUAUACUUUGUAGAGCAGAAGUUCAGGGAUUCUACUGAAAAUCUGAUCACCAGUUAUAAAGUCCAUAUUCCCAGAAAACCACACCAGUUCUCAGUCCUUUUUCUCGCUCUUGCACACUUAGUUUUCCACAAGAUUGCAAAAGCUUGUUGACCUCCCUAAAGUCCAUCUAUUUGCCCCCUGGGAUCUGCAGAUUCUGGGUUUGAAGCCUGAGUUGGCACUGAGACCAUCUCUUGGAAUGUACCCUUGUUGAACAUGGUAGUCAGCAUUCUUGCCUCUUCCUCACAUCCCUUCUCUGGGUUGAAGGGCUCCCUAGUUAGGUAGGGAUAGGUAGGGGGAAGGAGAUAGGACUUACUUACAUUUGACUGGCAGGGCAACAGAACCAGGAAUCAGUGAAUGAACAUGGAAAAUAAAAGCAAGGGAGAGAGUAGGAUUAACGCUAAC
ensembl:lncRNA